CGGACUCGCGAAUGCANCUAGAUGUAUNUAAUUUGAUCAUGGGCUCAGGACGACACGCUGGCUGCGAUGCCUAAUACAUGCAAGUCGAGCGAACAGAGAAGGAGCUUGCUCCUUUGACGUUAGCGGCGGACGGGUGAGUAACACGUAGGGCAACCUACCUUAUAGUUUGGGAUAACUCCGUGGAAACCGGGGCUAAUACCGAAUAAUCUAUUUUACUUCAUGGUGAAAUACUGAAAGACGGUUUCGGCUGUCGCUAUAAGAUGGGCCCGCGGCGCAUUAGCUAGUUGGUGAGGUAACGGCUCACCAAGGCGACGAUGCGUAGACCGACCUAGAGAGGGUGAUCGGC
rnacentral:rRNA from 1 species